UACGUAGGGUGCAAGCGUUGUCCGGAAUUAUUGGGCGUAAAGAGCUCGUAGGCGGUUUGUCGCGUCUGCUGUGAAAACGCGAGGCUCAACCUCGCGCCUGCAGUGGGUACGGGCAGACUGGAGUGCGGUAGGGGGAGAUUGGAAUUCCUGGUGUAGCGGUGGAAUGCGCAGAUAUCAGGAGGAACACCCGAUGGCGAAAGGCAGAUCUCUGGGCCGUAACUGACGCUGGAGGAGCGAAAGCCGUGGGGAGCGAACAGG
rnacentral:rRNA from 1 species